GUUUCCGUAGUGUAGUGGUUAUCACGUCCGCCUCACACGCGGAAGGUCGCAGGUUCGGUCCCUGCCGGAAACA
rnacentral:tRNA from 1 species